UUACGACCAUAUCACGCUGAAACUCCGGUUCCCGUACGAUCACAGAUCUUAAGCAACGUCGAGCCUGGUCAGUGGCUAGAUGCGUGAACGCUUGGGAAUACCAGGUGCUGUAAG